rnacentral:rRNA from 1 species
UACGUAGGGUGCAAGCGUUGUCCGGAAUUAUUGGGCGUAAAGAGCUUGUAGGCGGUUUGUCGCGUCUGCUGUGAAAUUUCGGGGCUCAACCCCGAACUUGCAGUGGGUACGGGCAGACUAGAGUGUGGUAGGGGAGACUGGAAUUCCUGGUGUAGCGGUGAAAUGCGCAGAUAUCAGGAGGAACACCGAUGGCGAAGGCAGGUCUCUGGGCCAUAACUGACGCUGAGAAGCGAAAGCAUGGGGAGCGAUCCGG